AAACUUACCGGUUCAAAACAUGAGUGGGAUUGACAGAUUGAGAGCUCUUUCUUGAUUGGAUGGGUGGUGGUGCAUGGCCGUUCUUAGUUGGUGGAGUGAUUUGUCUGGUUAAUUCCGUUAACGAACGAGACCUUAACCUGUUAACUAGUACUCGUGUCCAAAACAGGAGUUACUUCUUAGAGGGACUAAUGGAUUGAAGCCAUUGGAAGUUUGAGGCAAUAACAGGUCUGUGAUGCCCCUAGAUGUACCGGGCCGCACGCGUUCUACAAUGACUUGUGCAACAAGUCCUAUCCUGGCUCGAGAGAGUACGGGUAAUCUUUAUAAUGCAAGUCGUAUUAGGGAUCGAUCUUUGGAAUUAUAGAUCUUGAACAAGGAAUACCUAGUAAGUGUUCGUCAUCAGCGAGCACUGAUUACGUCCCUGUCGUUUGUACACACCGCCCGUCGCUCCUACCGAUUCCGAGUGGUGAGGUGAAAUUUGUGGACCUAGUGGCUCUUGAGGCUGUUGGGGAAGCAACUUAAACCUUAUCACUUAGAGGAAGGAUAAGUCGUAACAAGGUAACC
rnacentral:rRNA from 1 species